UACGGAGGGAGCUAGCGUUGUUCGGAAUUACUGGGCGUAAAGCGCGCGUAGGCGGCUUUGUAAGUUAGAGGUGAAAGCCCGGGGCUCAACCCCGGAACUGCCUUUAAGACUGCAUCGCUUGAAUCCGGGAGAGGUGAGUGGAAUUCUGAGUGUAGAGGUGAAAUUCGUAGAUAUUCGGAAGAACACCAGUGGCGAAGGCGACUCACUGGACGUGUAUUGACGCUGAGGUACGAAAGCGUGGGGAGCAAACAGG
rnacentral:rRNA from 1 species